rnacentral:lncRNA from 1 species
AUGAGGUUUUGGGGAUAUGAUUUUAAAUUUAAAAAAUUAAAAAAUAAAUAUUAAAAUUUUCAUAAUAAAAAUGAACUAUUUUGGUCAUUUUUUUCUGAGAACGAUUUUUGUGAUAAAAACUUCAAAGUGUUAUUAUAGAGAAUUGCCAAAAACAAAAAAAUAUAUUUCUACCUUUUGCAGUGUUUAUAUGAGUAGCACAAACAAACAAAUCAUGUUCGUACGUAUUAAAUGGGCCAAAUUAAAGUUGGGCAGAGAAAAAAAAAAGAAAAAGG